rnacentral:rRNA from 1 species
CAACGCCGCGUGAGUGAUGAAGGCUUUACGGUCGUAAAACUCUGUUGUUAGGGAAGAACAAGUACGAGAGUAACUGCUCGUACCUUGACGGUACCUAACCAGAAAGCCACGGCUAACUACGUGCCAGCAGCCGCGGUAAUACGUAGUGGCAAGCGUUAUCCGGAAUUAUUGGGCGUAAAGCGCGCGCAGGCGGUUUCUUAAGUCUGAUGUGAAAGCCCACGGCUCAACCGUGGAGGGUCAUUGGAAACUGGGGAACUUGAGUGCAGAAGAGAAAAGCGGAAUUCCACGUGUAGCGGUGAAAUGCGUAGAGAUGUGGAGGAACACCAGUGGCGAAGGCGGCUUUUUGGUCUGUAACUGACGCUGAGGCGCGAAAGCGUGGGGAGCAAACAGGAUUAGAUACCCUGGUAGUCCACGCCGUAAACGAUGAGUGCUAAGUGUUAGAGGGUUUCCGCCCUUUAGUGCUGCAGCUAACGCAUUAAGCACUCCGCCUGGGGAGUACGGUCGCAAGACUG